rnacentral:siRNA from 1 species
GAGAAAUCAAAGUUUUUGGGU